rnacentral:rRNA from 1 species
AAAGCGUGCGCAGGCGGUUAUGUAAGACAGAUGUGAAAUCCCCGGGCUCAACCUGGGAACUGCAUUAGUGACUGCAUAGCUGGAGUACGGCAGAGGGGGAUGGAAUUCUGCGUGUAGCAGUGAAAUGCGUAGAUAUGCGGAGGAACACCGAUGGCGAAGGCAAUCCCCUGGGCCUGUACUGACGCUCAUGCACGAAAGCGUGGGGAGCAAACAGGAUUAGAUACCCUGGU